rnacentral:misc_RNA from 1 species
CAUGGAACAGGAUAAAACUUGUCUCAGAAUCUGAUAAAUAAAUCAAUAGGCACUGGAGUUUCUUGAUGCAGAUUUUAUUAUAGCCAACAACUCUAGACUGGGAUUUCUUGCUCAUACAACAGUCUUACAGUUCAAUUUCUUCAUCUGGGCAUACAAAUUUGAGACGUCUCAUGAUUUAAAUCCCUGUUAUGUUCAGAAACCAUGACUUCCACAACCCAUUUAACAAAAUACAGAACUACGGCAAAAGCACUAACAUUCAGAUUCCUUCGAACACAAGGACAAGCCUCAUCAUCCAUGAAUUUGAUGUCUCUGGAAAACCAAGUUAUGUGGGUUGAUAUGGGCACCAGCAUACCGAUUUUGCUCCUGAAGUUUAAGGCCAUUGGAAGCAAUAUCACUGGGAGAUGACACAAACAAGUUGCCAAGAGUUGCAUCAAACACCAUAAUUGAUCCAUGCUUUGACUGGCUCCAAUCAAUUAACAUUUCCUGCAUACCAAUGGGGUUUUGUGACAGAAGGGUAUUAGACUGGUCUGGUGAGGGAGGUUUAUUACUGUCUGCUGGAGUAGUAUUAGUGAGAUUGACGGUUGUGAUGUCAUGGAUGCUUGGUCUUCUCUUGUCUUUAGCUCCAGAAAGUUGCUGCCUUAUAAAAUACUUCUGUGCAUGGCUUGCAACUUGAGUUGGAGUCUUAGAAACUACGAAAUUCCUGGAAAUAUUCCUCCAAUCCCCUUUCCCAUGCUUUAGAAGCCCCAAAAGAAACCGCCUGCAAUUCAUCAUCAUCAAGCAGUGCAGAUUAUAAGAUCAAGAAGACAUGAAAAUUAAUUACCAAACCUUGAAACUUCAUAUCAAAAGAAGAAAAUCUGAAAAACAACCGGUUUUAAAAUAUAAAUUUACAAAUGAAUUCACCUGUGCUCAUCUUCUGUCCAUGGCACACCUUUCUUCCUCUCCUGAUCACCAUUUUUAGUAGCCAAAGGCUUCUUUCUAUAUGCAUCAAAAUUGCGAUUUUCAAUCCAAUCCAAAGUGAAAGGUGAGCUAAGGUAACCAGGAAUAGCCACCUUCCCUGCUUCUAUGUUACAAACAUCCUCUUCUAGCUCCCUGUAUUGCUUGAUCACAUCAACAACUGUUUUCCCUGGGAUCAUAGCCGCCACUUUUGUCCAUCUAUCAGGCUCAUGCUCAUCAUAUAUUGCCAAAGCCCUCUCAAAUUCUUUGUUCUCCUCUCUAGUCCACUCUGUGCUUUGGCUAAACCAAUUGGAAUUGGACAUGUACAAAGAUGUAUAUAGAGUUUCCAUGCCUGUGAGUACUUACAGGUUCAUAUUGGAGUACAGAGGAAGAGAAACAGAAAGCAUAUGCAAAGAGUGAGGUUUUCAGAAAAUUUUUUUAUGCUCUUUUUCUUCUCUUCUUAGCAGCAUAAAACUUAGAAUCUAAUAAAGACCCACCUUUCACGAAUCCAAGGGAAUCUUGAAAAGAGAAAAAGAAAUCUGAUUUUCACACCUAGGAAUAAGACCUGAGAUUGAAAGAAGCAAAACCCAGAUGGGUGAGAAUCUCCCAACUGAUAUUUUAUAGCCAAGAAAUUGUAACACUUGGAAAUGCGAAUGUAAAAAUAUGAUAAACAGGAGAAAACAGUGAAAAUUCACUUGUUUAUUGGUUUCUUUAAAAGGAGAAUAAAGAAGAGGUUAGUUGAGCGAGGAUCAAAAGAGAUAAUGAAUCAAAACUACGAAUAAUUCAAGUUUCGGGGCGUUGUAAGUUGAAGGGAGAUAGAGAAGCUAAAGAGGAAAGGGUAUCUGAGAGGCGGCUGCUUGAUAUUGGAGGAUGCACUAGUGA